rnacentral:rRNA from 1 species
AGCGAACGCUGGCGGCAGGCUUAACACAUGCAAGUCGAGCGGGCCCUUCGGGGUCAGCGGCGGACGGGUGAGUAACGCGUGGGAACGUGCCUUCUGGUCUGGAAUAACCCUGGGAAACUAGGGCUAAUACCGGAUACGCCCUUUUGGGGAAAGGUUUACUGCCGGAAGAUCGGCCCGCGUCUGAUUAGCUAGUUGGUGGGGUAACGGCCUACCAAGGCGACGAUCAGUAGCUGGUCUGAGAGGAUGAUCAGCCACACUGGGACUGAGACACGGCCCAGACUCCUACAGGAGGCAGCAGUGGGGAAUAUUGGACAAUGGGCGCAAGCCUGAUCCAGCCAUGCCGCGUGAGUGAUGAAGGCCUUAGGGUUGUAAAGCUCUUUUAUCCGGGACGAUAAUGACGGUACCGGAGGAAUAAGCCCCGGCUAACUUCGUG